rnacentral:rRNA from 1 species
CCUACGGGUGGCAGCAGUGAGGAAUAUUGGUCAAUGGGCGUAAGCCUGAACCAGCCAAGUCGCGUGAGGGAUGAAGGUUCUAUGGAUCGUAAACCUCUUUUGUAAGGGAAUAAAGUGUGGGACGUGUCCUAUUUUGUAUGUAUCUUAUGAAUAAGGAUCGGCUAACUCCGUGCCAGCAGCCGCGGUAAUACGGAGGAUCCGAGCGUUAUCCGGAUUUAUUGGGUUUAAAGGGUGCGUAGGCGGCCGUUUAAGUUAGAGGUGAAAUCCUGAGGCUCAACCUUAGAAUUGCCUUUGAUACUGGGCGGCUAGAGAGUAUUUGCGGCAGGCGGAAUGCAUGGUGUAGCGGUGAAAUGCUUAGAGAUCACGCAGAACACCGAUUGCGAAGGCAGCUUGCCAAGCCAUUUCUGACGCUGAGGCACGAAAGCGUGGGGAUCAAACAGGAUUAGAUACCCGUGUAGUC